rnacentral:lncRNA from 10 species
AUGCAUUUACCCAAUUUCAGAUUCUUGCUAUGUUAGGUCACAGGCCAGGUCUCCCUGGUUUCACCCAGUGUGGCCAGCACAGGUCACCCCUGGACGCCCUGGUGCUGGAAGAAGAUCACAGGGACGUCCUCUCUCUUCAUGUCCUGGAGUGGCUUUUAUUUCAGUCUGUACCAGAAAAUUUCCAGGACAAAACUGUGAUCAGAACCAAGGAGAACCAUGAAUCGGCAAAUCAAGAAAAGCAAGAAAAUGAAGUCUUGGCAAUAUGGAGCGCUGCUGAGAACUGAUAUGUGGUUAUGCAAGAAUUUGUUGCAUUUAUGCUGAGGAAAGAUUGAAAAGUAGGAUUCAGGCACCAAUCCAGGAAGCUGGGUGGAGGAUCACUGGAGCAACAUAUGCCAUUGUGGUGUGCCCAAAGAAACCCUUCCGCUUUGACUUGUACUCUCUGGAUUCGGCUACAUCUGUGGCCCUUGACUGUCUUCCCUUACAAAGACAUCUUUCUUUGGAAGCUUCUUGUACUCUCAUGCACAUAUUCCCCAGGUGGGAUCCCCCAUCUGUCUUCCAAAAAUACCCUAGACAUUCAUCCCCUAAACCUGCCUGGUUUGGUCCCAUCACAUUUAUAUGAUGUUACAGAGUAUGGAAAUGGGAAAGCAGAUGAACCUACCAGCUUGGCAUCCAUGUAAUACUUUAAUUAAAUUGCUAAAAUUAAGAGCUUUGGGAAAAAGUUUCAUAAUUUAGGUUAUGUUCCUUUUUUGUCUAGUGAAGGGAACUUUUUAUUUGGUAUUAGGACUUUGUGUGUGUUAUCUAAUUUAAUUUUCACAGUAUCCCUGCAAGGAAAUGGCUGUUUUCUCCAUUUUUUUUUCAGAUGAGAAAAUGGAGUUUUAUA